UCGGAAGGUGCGGCUGGAUCACCUCCUUUCUAAGGAAUAUUCGGAACGCUAUCUUUAAGAUAGUAAGGACAUACAUGGUUGUUUGGUUCAGUUUUGAGAGAGCAAAUCUCUCUUUUAUACUUUGUACCUUGAAAACUAAAUAAGAGUAACAACGACAUCAUUUUUUUAAAUUAAAGCAAGGCUAAUAAAUUAGUACGCUUAUUUACUAACUUAGUUAAGUGAAUAAGGGCGCAC
rnacentral:misc_RNA from 1 species